rnacentral:sRNA from 1 species
GCUGGGCUUGGUGGCGCACGCCUGUAAUCCCAGCAGCUCGGGAGCCUGAGGCAGGAGGACUGCAAAUUCAGAUCCAGCCUCAG